rnacentral:rRNA from 1 species
UACAGAGGGUGCGAGCGUUGUCCGGAAUCACUGGGCGUAAAGGGCGCGUAGGCGGCCCGAUAAGUAGGGGGUGAAAUCUUGCGGCUCAACCGCAAGGCUGCCUUCUAAACUGGCGGGCUGGAGCACGGUAGAGGCAGAUGGAAUUCCCGGUGUAGCGGUGGAAUGCGUAGAGAUCGGGAAGAACACCAGUGGCGAAGGCGGUCUGCUGGGCCGUUGCUGACGCUGAGGCGCGACAGCGUGGGGAGCAAACAGG